CCAGGUUUGUGAGGAGCCAGCCGGGGAGCUCUGCUGCUAAUGUUAGCACGCUAGCCGGCUAAACGGAACAAAUCCCCGCGGUGUGCGGAGGCGUCUUCGCGCUGUUAUCUCUCUGCGUUUAGCACAAACAGAUUCCCGCGAGUUUACGUCUCCCGGCGUGGAUCAGGUUCUGACAGGUGCCCCCCCCGCCGAGAACGGUUUUUAAUAAAUAGUUAUUUUUGUGUUUUAUCUGGUACAAAUAUGGCGGCCACUCGACACCGGAGGUGGAAGCCAGAGUGAGUUAACCUCCCCCGUGGGCGGGCUCUGUGACGACACUGUGGAACAGACCUGAGGUCAGUGACGGCGGGUGUCUCAGUCUGACGGUGCCGCAGCGCAGAACGCUCGGCUGACCUCAGACCAGCCCGGAGAGCAGGCGCAUUCCUGCCUGCAGAGCUCUGCUCUCAGACCCGAACGGCGUUUAAAAGCUGCUGGUUCUUAUUUAUCAGGAACUGUUGAUCAGAUGCUGAUACGCAUUUUAUUAGUAACUAAUUGCACAUUGAAAUCUGUGUUGCUCUGCAGUUCAGAUAGCAGCUGACAUUCAUACUAGUAAUUAAUAAUAUAGUUAUUAGCACUAUGAGAUCUAUCUGUUUCUGUUUUACUGGUAUCUGUUAUUUAUAUACUAGCACAUUAGUCACUAGGAACUAUUCCAAAAGAUACUAGUAACACUUGAAUUCUUACUUGUAAAUGUUUAUUUAUUUUUUAACAAACACACACUUUUACUGUUUUUAAUUAUUUUUAUGUAAUUAACUGUAUGAAAUUACUAGUUCUUUGUUUAUUAUAUUUUUUAUAGGCUUUGGCAACAUUGUUGUUUGGCAAAUAAAGCUGAAUUGAACUGAAAAUGGAAAUAGUUUGUAGUUCCUAAUAAAAAGGUAAUAUCUGAACUGCAGAGCUUCAUAUUUAAACGGUAAAAAAUUUUGCAAUUGGUUACUAGUAACUAAUGGAAUAGUUAUAAAUAACUAAAAUUAAGUACUAGUAUCUAAUAAAUUGUUACUAGUAAAACAGGGAUAGUUACUAGUAACUAAUAAAUAAAUACUAGUAGAUGUUAAAUAGUGACUAGUAAGGUUUAAGGAAUAAAUGUUCAAAUAGCUGCCAGUGUUCAUUUAAAAACAAGAGUUAAUUAUAAAUAUUUGUGGUUUGAUAUUGCAAAGCAAAGAUGAACAUGCAGUUCUUUAUCUACUGAAUUGUUUUAUCCGCAGUGUAGAGCUGUUAAAUCAUCCCGCUAAAAAUGUUUAAGUCGUUUAAAUUAAAUGUUAAACCUUCAAAAUUCCAAAAGGACCUAAAUGAUCCUAAAACACUUUCCCACUGAACUAAAUAUCUGAACGUUACUGAAUUCUCCCCUUGUAUUAUAAUUUCUUAACACUAAUUUUAAUUUAUUUCUACUUAAUGUAUUUUUAGUCAUUAGUAUUCUUGUUCCCUCUGCCGAUGUUUUCUCUCUGGAUUAUGUGCUGCCAUGUCUGUUUUUAAACUUCACAUGUUUUAGUAAAAUAUUAAGAUAUGCAGAUGUGGAUAAAUGAUUUAUUCCAGCGUCCUCAUGUUGUUUUUGUUUGUGUGUACAUGUUGUACACUGACAGUAAUGUGAAAUUCCUCCUAUGUUCAUUUAAGGUGAUUCUGGUGUUUUCAGACAUAUUUACCAAACAAAAACGGCUAAUUACUGCUUUUCUUUUCAUUCAGUGAACUUUAAUAAAGCCAAUUAUGUGGCUGCUCUUAUCUGUUUAUUUUCAUAUUUGUCAGUUUGUUUGAACUCUUCCUCUUUAUUUUACUGAUUGAUUCACUCUUAAAUCUUUGUUUAUAAUCAGUUUUUUUUUUUUGUCAGUGCUUGAAUACAAAUAAAGAUGUGUGAUCUUCUCACAGG